CUAAGAAGCACAUUGGGGAGGAAAGGG
rnacentral:misc_RNA from 1 species